rnacentral:rRNA from 1 species
UACGUAGGGUGCAAGCGUUGUCCGGAAUUAUUGGGCGUAAAGAGCUCGUAGGCGGUUUGUCGCGUCUGCCGUGAAAGUCCGGGGCUCAACUCCGGAUCUGCGGUGGGUACGGGCAGACUAGAGUGCGGUAGGGGAGAUUGGAAUUCCUGGUGUAGCGGUGGAAUGCGUAGAUAUCUGGAGGAACACCGGUGGCGAAGGCGGGUCUCUGGGCCGAUACUGACGCUGAGGAGCGAAAGCGUGGGGAGCGAACAGG